rnacentral:hammerhead_ribozyme from 1 species
AUCCAGCUGACGAGUCAGAAGCAGGAGGAAACGCGCGUCCUGGAU